rnacentral:rRNA from 1 species
CACCUAGCUUGUACGUGGGCGACCCCGGCCUUGCGGCAGCUGCGUUCCUCAGUCUGGUCCGGCACAUAUGACAAGAGGCUAUAACACACCCGAGGGUGCCACCUUCCUCCUGCCUUUUUCUACCGGAUCAAACUGAUGUUGACCCGUGAAAGGCAAAUACACCGCCAGAGACGGCUGAAUACCUUUCACACGACUGACUUCAAUCGUUUCCCUUUUAACAAUUUCACGUGCUGUUUAACUCUCUUUCCAAAGUGCUUUUCAUCUUUCCCUCACGGUACUUGUUCGCUAUCGGUCUCUCGCCAAUAUUUAGCCUUAGAUGGAAUUUACCACCCAUUUAGAGCUGCAUUCCCAAACAACUCGACUCAUUGAGAACGUAUCACAGAGCACCGGUUGUCGCGUCAAGUACGGGAUUGUCACCCUCUUUGAUACUCUAUUCCAAGAGACUUGGACGCGGUCCGGCGCGGAAAACGCCUCUAUAGAUUACAACUCGGACGCCUGAAAGACGCCUGAUUUUAAAUUUGAGCUCAUCCCGGUUCACUCGCCGUUACUAAGGGAACCUAGUUAGAUUCUUUUCCUCCCUAUGGAAAUUU